rnacentral:rRNA from 1 species
UGGGGAAUAUUGGACAAUGGGGGCAACCCUGAUCCAGCAAUGCCGCGUGUGUGAAGAAGGUCUUCGGAUUGUAAAGCACUUUCGACGGGGACGAUGAUGACGGUACCCGUAGAAGAAGCCCGGCUAACUUCGUGCCAGCAGCCGCGGUAAUACGAAGGGGGCUAGCGUUGCUCGGAAUGACUGGGCGUAAAGGGCGUGUAGGCGGUUUACACAGUCAGAUGUGAAAUCCCCGGGCUUAACCUGGGAGCUGCAUUUGAUACGUGUAGACUAGAGUGUGAGAGAGGGUUGUGGAAUUCCCAGUGUAGAGGUGAAAUUCGUAGAUAUUGGGAAGAACACCGGUGGCGAAGGCGGCAACCUGGCUCAUGACUGACGCUGAGGCGCGAAAGCGUGGGGAGCAAACAGGAUUAGAUACCCUGGUAGUCCACGCUGUAAACGAUGUGUGCUAGAUGUUGGGU